CCUCUUGAUCCAAUGUGGAAUACGUACGGAGUAAAACCCACAAAAAACUAUGGAUGCCGGCCAUGAAAGCCUUCGACUAUACUGAGAAUUGUUUCCUGCCAAUGCUACCUGCUUGGAGCACAUUUUCAAGAGAAGAAUCACACAACUGUGAUUUAUCAAUGUGCCCAUGUGCCUAGGCAUGCAUGGUCACUUCUACAGCUGCUGCAAAUCCAAACCAUCCCAUCUUUUCUUAAGGUUGCUCCUGACUUCAGCCGGACUUUUGCCCAAUCAAAAGACCCGACUUCAGCCUUUUUAAGAGUGAUUUGGUGUCCACCUGUGCUAUCAGCUUGGUGCUGAAAAUGCUUGCCUUUCCAUCCUGAACUAUUUUAGGCUCCGGCUGUGCUUUGCAGCCCAGCAGGCGGACAGCAUAAAGCAUCUCUCUUCCUAUACAGCAGGGGGAAGCAAGGAAAUGAGAGUCAUCUAGAAGAGAGGCAUCCAAUCCCUUAACAACCGCGAACAAUGGAGCAGCUUUCUCCAAGGGUGAAGGAAAGAGAAGCUUCUCGCUGCUAGAUAAUAACAAUCAGACAGAAAUGGAAUUGCCUGCCUAUUGAAGUCAAGUGGGCUUUUUCUUCUUUUCAGUGGAAUCUGGACACAUUGUAAUGUACUUUGCCUUCAAAAAUACUUCUGCAGCCUAUGUGACGUUGUUGGUUCAUGACAGGCUUCCUCUGCAGUACUUGCAUUCAGUGCUGGGCACCUUAUUUGGAGAAGGAGAUACACAAGCUGGAGCAGGUUCAGAGAUUGGCAACAAGUAUGAUAAGAGAUUUAAGGAAGGCUACGACUGUGAUUUAAAAUAAUGGCCAGAAUCCAAUGCUGGGAGACAUAUCUACAGCAUGAAUUUCUCCUAUUUAUGGGCAGUGAAACACAGUGGCAAGAAUGAAAAAUUUAAAGGAGCAAACUAUCAGCUGAAACUAGAUACAGCCUUAGGGCACUGGAGCGCCUUUGAUUCUCAGCAGCCCGAGGAUUUGUGGGACUCCGACUCUCAAGAUUUCCCCUUAUUGUGAAAUGCUUGGGAAGCAGUUUCCAUGACAUGUCACAGGCUCAUGGCAGUCAGAAGCAUUUUGCAAGGACGGUGUGUUGAAAGCCUCUUGGCCUGGAGGCAGGAGUAUUUCUGUUACCCGGGAAUGGAUUUAUCACCUUGUUCAACUGCCAGAAGGCUUAUUAUGUUGACUGCAGUGCGCAGGUUGGUGGAACAUGAACGUAAAACGUCAAAUACUUACAAAUGCAUAACCUGCAGUUACACAUUUAUAACUGAUGCAUAGUCACGAACCCUAUAUAUGCAAUAGUGUAGGGAACACACAGGGGUCGUAACGUCUCCCAGUCUUGAUCUCCCAGAAGUAUUGAUUUGUAGAGAAUAUAUUUUCUGUACAGAAAUACUUUGCAGUAGCAUUAUGACUGACUAGUCUUUCCAAUGGUUUUACCCUGGUUGACUGAGAAACAAAUAGCAAGCAAAUAUUCUUUCCACCCUUAGUUCAAAUACAUUAUACAGUCGCCCCUUUGAACUCGCGAGGGAUCUGUUCUGAGUUUGAAAACUCACGCAUA